CGCCGCCAUUCUAAAUCCAGCUCCAUACAACGCUCCGCCGCCGCUGCUGCAGCCACCCGGACUGCGCCCCAGCACCCGCCUGCAGACAGCUCCGCCACCAUGGAGGACAUGAACGAGUACAGCAACACAGGGGAAUUCGCAAAGGGAUCCAAGAUCAAUGCGAGCAAGAAUCAGCAGGAUGACGGUAAAAUGUUUAUUGGAGGCUUGAGCUGGGAUACAAGCAAAAAAGAUCUGACGGAAUAUCUGUCUCGAUUUGGGGAAGUUGUAGACUGCACAAUUGAAACAGAUCCAGUCACUGAGAGAUCAAGAGGAUUUGGAUUUGUGCAUUUCAAACAUGCUUCUAGUGUUGAUAAGGUUUUGGAACUGAAAGAACACAAACUGGAUGGCAAAUUGAUAGAUCCCAAAAGGGCCAAAGCUUUAAAAUGA